rnacentral:rRNA from 1 species
AACGAACGCUGGCGGCAUGCCUAACACAUGCAAGUCGAACGGGAUCCAGGCUUCGGUCUGGUGAGAGUGGCGGACGGGUGAGUAACACGUGGGAACCUGCCUUUUGGUUCGGGAUAACCGCGGGAAACUGCGGCUAAUACCGGAUGCUCCCGAGAGGGGAAAGAUUUAUCGCCAGAAGAGGGGCCCGCGUCCGAUUAGGUAGUUGGUGAGGUAAUGGCUCACCAAGCCGACGAUCGGUAGCUGGUCUGAGAGGAUGAUCAGCCACACUGGGACUGAGAUACGGCCCAGACUCCUACGGGAGGCAGCAGUGGGGAAUAUUGGACAAUGGGGGCAACCCUGAUCCAGCAAUGCCGCGUGAGUGAUGAAGGCCUUAGGGUUGUAAAGCUCUUUUGCCAGGGAAGAUGAUGACUGUACCUGGAGAAUAAGCCCCGGCUAACUUCGUGCCAGCAGCCGCGGUAAGUCGUGUGACA